rnacentral:rRNA from 1 species
UACGUAGGUGGCAAGCGUUGUCCGGAAUUACUGGGCGUAAAGGGCGCGUAGGCGGCCCGCUAAGUCGACCGUGAAAUCCCCGAGCUCAACUCGGGAACUGCGUCCGAUACUGGCGGGCUUGAAUCCGGGAGAGGGAUGCGGAAUUCCAGGUGUAGCGGUGAAAUGCGUAGAUAUCUGGAGGAACACCGGUGGCGAAGGCGGCAUCCUGGACCGGCAUUGACGCUGAGGCGCGAAAGCUAGGGGAGCAAACGGG